rnacentral:tRNA from 4 species
GGGCUCGUAGCUCAGUUGGCAGAGCAUCCGGCUCAUAACCGGACGGUCGGGGGUUCGAUCCCCUCCGAGCCCACCA